rnacentral:lncRNA from 1 species
AAAUCAAAUGGAAUGCUUUAAUAUAAUAUGUAUAUAAAAAACUUAUAUUCCACAGCCAAGUGGGGUUUAUUUCAAGGAUGCAAGGCUGGUUCAAUAUGCAAAACUCAGUGCACUACAUCACAUCAAUUAAGAUACUGAAGAAAACUCAAGAUGAUCAUGUCAACCGGAGAUAAAGCAUUUGACAAAACUCAACACUCAUUCACCAUAACAAAAAUCUCAGCAAAUUAAGAACAGAGGGAAACUUUCUAGACUUGUUGGAAAACUCUAUGGAAAAAGAACCUUACACCUAACAUUGCACUUAAUGAAAAACUGAACGUGUUCCCUCUAACAUCAGGAACCAGACAAGGAUAUCCUUUAUUACUCUGAUUCAACAUACUGGAAGUCCUAGCUAAUGCAGUGAAAUAACAAGUGCAGAGACAGGAAGAAAUAAAACUAAUUUGGAGUUCCCGUCAUGGCUCAAAACAAUAAGAACUGAGUUCAGUCGUGAGUGCAAGAUACUGAAAUAUUACUCCAGGAACAAUUAUCUUUCGGAAUACUACUAAAGAUCACAUGGAAAUUGAAAGUUUAUGUCAUCUGAAAAAUCACAUGGAAAAAAACCCCACCAACUGCUUAGACAUAAAUAAUAACAAAAAUGUAUAAAACCUGUACUGUUGAAAUUUAUAAAAUGCUAAGGAACUAUCAAUAAUUACUUAAAUAGGAGUUCCCACUGUGGCUCUCAGCAAGUUAAGAACCCGACUAGUCCCCAUGUGGAUUCAGGUUUCACUCCUGGCCUCACUCAGUGUUGCUAUGUGCUGGUGUUGCUAUGUGCUGCACUGUAGGCUGCAUAUGCAGCUUGGAUCUCAAGUUGUAUAGAUUAUAUCUGCAGGUCCGACUCAUCCCUAGCCCAGGAACUCCCACAUGCCACAGGUGCAGCCAUAAAAAGGAGCAGGAAAGGAAAAAAUUAAAUAAAUGAAGGGUCAUAUCAUGUAAUGUGUUCAUGGUGCUACUUCUGAAACUGCUCUACAGGUUUACAUCGAUUUUGAUAAAUAUGUGGGCAAGAUUUUUUUGCAUCCUAAGAUCUGUAGCUGCCAGCCACAGCCACAGCAAUGUAGGAUCUAACCCAUGUCUGCGACCUACAGCACAGCUCAUGGCAACACCGGAUCUUAACCCACUGAGAGAGGCCAAGGAUCAAACCCACAUCCUCACGGAUACUAGGUGGAUUCACUUCUCCUGCACCACAACAGGAACUCCCUCAUUUUACCCAAUUUUAAAUUUUACUGUAUAGCUAUAUAAAUUAAGUACACAAUACACUGGAUCAAUAAAAAGACUGAAUGCGUAGUGGUUAAAGCCACCAAAAGAACAGCCGGGUUCUUCCAAAAAACUAAAGCCUGAAAAGCCUUAACCGGCAUGAUAAAAUGGGCCCAUCUGUCCUAUGUGCAU